rnacentral:lncRNA from 1 species
CCCAAUAUCUUUCAGGGUAGCACUGUUGCACCGCCUUUUAUACCUGCUUCUGUGACUCCAUUGGCACAGAUACAGCGACCUCCAGUACAGCACUUUGACCAAAUGUUCUCCCUGCCUGUUGUUCCACCACCCUUAUCUUCUGUGCCUCCUCAGCCUGAAAUACCCCCUCCACCUCCACUUCCCCCUCCGCCUUUUGUACCACCACCUUUAGCAUCAAUACCACCUCAGCCUGAAAUACUCCCUCCAUUGCCACCAUCCCCGCCACCUGCUCCCCCUCCACCUCGUUCACCUCCUCCACCUCCACCCUUUGCAGAAUCAACUGAUGCAGAAACGUCUGGAAAAUCUAAGCAGUAUCAGUGGCAGGGCACACUAUGUAAAAGUGGGGUUCAUUAUUGCACGAUCUUUUCAUACAAGGUUGAUUC